rnacentral:rRNA from 1 species
CAAUAGCGUAUAUUUAAGUUGUUGCAGUUAAAAAGCUCGUGGUUGGAUUUCGGAUGGGAUUUGCCGGUCCGUCGUUACGAUGUGCACUGGCCAGUCCUAUCUUGUUGUCGGGGACUAGCUCCUUGGAUUCACUUCCUGGGACUAGGAGCUGACGAGGUUACUUUGAGUAAAUUAGAGUGUUCAAAGCAAGCCUACGCUCUGAAUACAUUAGCAUGGAAUAACACGAUAGGACUCUGGCUUAUCUUGUUGGUCUGUGAGACCAGAGUAAUGAUUAAGAGGGACAGUCGGGGACAUUCGUAUUUCAUUGUCAGAGGUGAAAUUCUUGGAUUUAUGAAAGACGAACUUCUGCGAAAGCAUUUGUCAAGGAUGUUUUCAUUA